GGACUACUGGGGUAUCUAAUCCCGUUCGCUACCCACGCUUUCGUGCUUGAGUGUCAGGAACGCGCCAGUCUGCUGCCUUCGCUUUCGGUGUUCCCCAAGAUAUCAACGGAUUUCACCCCUACACCUUGAGUUCCACAGACCUCUCACGCCCUCGAGUCAUGCCGUUUCGCGCGCGGAUCCGGAGUUGAGCUCCGGGUUUUGACGCGCGACUAACACGACCACCUACGCACUCUUUACGCCCAGUAAUUCCGGGUAACGCUUGGGGCCUCUGUAUUACCGCGGCUGCUGGCAC
rnacentral:rRNA from 1 species